GACGGAGGAUGCAAGUGUUAUCCGGAAUCACUGGGCGUAAAGCGUCUGUAGGUGGUUCGAAAAGUCCACUGUUAAAAAUUGAGGCUUAACUUCAAAGAUGCCGUGGAAACUUUCAAACUAGAGUAUGGUAGGGGUAGAGGGAAUUUCCAGUGGAGCGGUGAAAUGCGUAGAUAUUGGAAAGACCACCGAUGGCGAAGGCACUCUACUGGGCCAUUACUGACACUGAGAGACGAAAGCUAGGGGAGCAAGUGGG
rnacentral:rRNA from 1 species